GACGAACGCUGGCGGCGUGCUUAACACAUGCCAGUCGAACGGAAAGGCCCUGCUUUUGUGGGUUUCUCGAGUGGCGAACGGGUGAGUAACACGUGAGUAACCUGCCCUUGACUUUGUGAUAACUUCAGGAAACUGGGGCUAAUACCGGAUAGGAGCUCCUGCUGCAUGGUGGUGGUUGGAAAGUUUCGGCGGUUGGGGAUGGACUCGCGGCUUAUCAGCUUGUUGGUGUGGUAGUGGCUUACCAAGGCUGUGACGGGUAGCCGGCCUGAGAGGGUGACCGGCCACAUUGGGACUGAGAUACGGCCCAGAAUCCUACGGGAGGCAGCAGUGGGGAAUAUUGCACAAUGGGGGGAAGCCUGAUGCAGCAACGCCGCGUGCGGGAUGACGGCCUUCGGGUUGUAAACCGCUUUCGCCUGUGACGAAGCGUGAGUGACGGUAAUGGGUAAAGAAGCACCGGCUAACUACGUG
rnacentral:rRNA from 1 species